UUGUUAUAAUUUUUAAUGCAUGUAUUUAUGGUUUAUGAUAUACAACAAAUUUAAAUAGUUUGUAAUUAUUAAAAGUGGUCAAUAGAGUAGCUAAACUUGAUCCAUAAUUAGAUGAGUUCAAUUAAUGUGCCAGCCAACGCGGUUAUACUUUUCCGUCUAAUGCUGUAAUUUUAUCCUAGUAGUAAUUAUAGUUUGAUUGUUUAAAGUUAAAACUUCUCAUUACUAAACUUAUAUAGUUACCUAGAAAAGGAUUAGAGACCCUUGUAUAGAACUAAUACAUUUUAUUUAAAAGAAAGAUAAAUCACGAACUAGGCAGUCUAAUCUUACACAGAGGGGGAUGAUCUAUAAAUCGACAAUCCUCGUUAAUACUCCUAAUUGUAUGUCAUAUAUUGCCAUUUUACUCAUAACUUGAGUUAUUGAGAGAGGUAGGUCUAAAUGUGCUCUUUUUAGGUUUGUAUUGUCCUCAAUUUACUAUCUAUAGACUAGUCUUUAGUAUAAUUUGUAAGUAAUAUUUUCUUUAUAUAAGAAAGUGAAAUAAAAAGUUUCUUUUUGAACAGGUGCACUCACUGCCCGCUAAUGCCCGACAUAUUACGGGGUAUAAGGCGUAACAAGGUAGGUAUAGUAGAAACUGUACCUAGAUAA
rnacentral:rRNA from 1 species